GGGGAAUCUCGAUCUCGUUGGUAUUUUUUCUCGUCGAAUAUCCCCACGUUGGGCUCCUCGAACGGUAGGACAGAAGCAGGCAGCAGAGGCAGAGGAAGAGGAAGGUAGGCAAGAGCAGCAGCAGCGGCAGCAGCAGGGCUGUUGUUUACACCCCCACUUCGUCGGGUUAGAAGCAGAGAGAUGCCUCGGAGGGGCCUCGGAGACCUCGGCAGGCAGGCACCCACCACCACGCAAUUUCCAACCCCACCAAGCUCUCAACCACUGUCCGUACUUCUCUACCACCCCACCAAACCCAAAGGCAGCGAGCCCGAGCCGUCAGCAACGGCGAGACUCUCGCCGCGACGUAUUUUAGUAUCUUGGGGUGGGUGCCGUGUGACCACUAUUUCGCGGUUUCCUCGCCCGCUAGUCGAAACGCGUUAGUUUCUACAAAAUUCAAGCAACGACUCACCGCGACUCCGUAUCACCAGAAUAACACGCACACCGCCCGCGUCGCAACGGACAUCGCCGACUGGAGGCAGUUUGUUUCACCGUCUGGAUUAAUAUAUUCUAACCGCGUCCGUCGCUUGCCACAUAAAAUAACACUGUUCCCAUGCUCGGUCUAGUUUACCGCAGCGGAGCGACCGAGCCACAAGGAUAAAGAGAAAAUAAAAAAUAUGUACAUGUAUAUCCGUAUACGUGUGCUCUCGACCAACUCCGGGACGGGGGCGCGACGGAUUGACGACGACUCAGCAGACGUGGGAAGAGAGAACGGUGAACGAGGAGUUUCUGUAUUGUAACGGGAAUUUGGCGAUUAUUAUCCGCCGGACUGACCGCGGCUCGGUUCCGUUCAAACGACUAUAAAAUAAAGUAAAGCGAGAACGCACGACGGCCGUUGAAUGGCCGGUGGCCACGCUCAACGAGAACUACCAACUCGACUGGAAACUACGUUCGACAACAACUCCUUGCAGACACCCGAGAGGAAUAAAACGUUUCACACGCACGUCCUACUUACUUACCCCAGGGUUUUGCUGCAACGCGACCGACUGGUUCGAAUCCUUCCUUCGUCCAGCACAGUUAAACGGCGACACGACUACCUUCGUUAUGUGCCCCGUUCUCGAUAUUCACAGAACCAACUUUCUCAUUUCUACGCGGUUAAAGCCUUUCGGACGGACUCUCGCGCUUUUCAAGCGUUCACUGCUCGCUUCUGUGUCUGCUUCUUUGCAUACGUCAUAUAACACUUGACCACCUUCAGGGCCGUGCUAAUUCCGAAUCUUAUCACCUGGAUAAUCGUCUCAUUUUAUUCAUUUUCGAUAAUUGAAUAACGAAUGCUCGUCGAGGAGGUUUAUUCUUUUGAAUUAACUCGGUACACUACACUAUACCGCGCGGUCAACAAGCCUCUACGAUGUCCCUCUGUAGGCCCAACUUGUUAGUCUCGACAAACGGGGAAAUGGGAAUGAAGAAUUUUAACUAACGGUACAUAGCCGCUGGCCUGCUGCUGCUGCUUGCUUAAUUUCAGAGACAUGCUGUCGGAGUAUACCGAGAAGAUUAUCUUACAAAAAUAAUUCCUGUCUUCGAAAUUAAAACUAUUUCACAUUAUGAAAAAUUCAAAUAUUCAUUGGUUUGGGGAACAAAUCAUAAAGUUUCACAAAAAAGCAUGGAUAUGAACUCACAGGUGAUGCCAGAGCCUCGAUGUCAUUUUAUGUUUACCUGAAAAGUUGCAGAUCCAAGUUGAUCGAAAAAAUCUCGAUUGGAAACGAGUGUUGGUUGCUAAUGUGACUGCGAUGAGGUCAUCAUCGACAACAGCAUAGUUAAAAGAAGGAAAACAUCAACCUUCACAUACAUAUAGGUAGAUGUGAAUAGGUAGGUAUUACAAGUAAUUGCUGUAAAAAAUCACAAAUUGCUUUGGAAAUUAAAAGUAUGAUAAAACCGUCCAGACUCGCUAAAAAUAACAAUCAGUAAUGUAACUACCACGAACAAUCAUUUCAAGUGACAAGGUAAUUCGUUAUGCUCGAAUUGACAUUCAUUCUCACAAUGAACUUAUGUGACAACUGAAAUAUCAAACAAAUUGGACUGUGAUACGUAUUUUGAAACUAAUUCUUUUGAUUUAUUUACUUUUUUUUUUUUGUAUGUUUCAAUAAUCAAUCUUAAACUAGAUAAUAAUAUAGUAUUUAGUUAUGCAUUAUCAGUCAACAAUCGAUGGCGAUGAAAAAAAAUAAAUAUAUAAAUAUAUUUAUGGUACAAUAAUUUCAUACUGACACGCGGCAAGUUCGAUUGAUCAAGAUCAGUUCAAUCUCAUUAAUUCAUCAUUAGGUACAGAAACCAGAAUACGUUAAUCAAAAAAAAUUGUAUCCUGGCUCAAAGUGAUUACUAAAGUUGAUUAUUGUAUUAUUUCACAAUGAUUUUUCAUCCUAAUUCGAUUGUUCUCGUCUAGAAAUCGUACUACGUUGAUAUGCUACAUGAGAUUUUUUUUAAUGACAUUAUAGCUAGAGUUUACGAAAAAAAAGCAGG
rnacentral:lncRNA from 1 species